rnacentral:rRNA from 1 species
AUUAAGUUUUCGGAUGGAAUUGCUGAGUGGCGGACGGGUGAGUAACGCGUGGGUACCUACCUUGUACUGGGGGACAACAGUUAGAAAUGACUGCUAAUACCGCAUAAGAUCGCAUGAUAAAAACUCCGGUGGUACAAGAUGGACCCGCGUCUGAUUAGCUAGUUGGUAAGGUAACGGCUUACCAAGGCGACGAUCAGUAGCCGACCUGAGAGGGUGACCGGCCACAUUGGGACUGAGACACGGCCCAAACUCCUACGGGAGGCAGCAGUGGGGAAUAUUGCACAAUGGGCGAAGGCCUGAUGCAGCGACGCCGCGUGAGUGAAGAAGUAUUUCGGUAUGUAAAGCUCUAUCAGCAGGGAAGAAAAUGACGGUACCUGACUAAGAAGCCCCGGCUAACUACGUGCCAGCAGCCGCGGUAAUACGUAGGGGGCAAGCGUUAUCCGGAUUUACUGGGUGUAAAGGGAGCGUAGACGGUAAAGCAAGUCUGAAGUGAAAGCCCGCGGCUCAACUGCGGGACUGCUUUGGAAACUGUUUAACUGGAGUGUCGGAGAGGUAAGUGGAAUUCCUAGUGUAGCGGUGAAAUGCGUAGAUAUUAGGAGGAACACCAGUGGCGAAGGCGACUUACUGGACGAUAACUGACGUUGAG